UACGAAGGGGGCUAGCGUUGCUCGGAAUCACUGGGCGUAAAGGGUGCGUAGGCGGGUCUUUAAGUCAGGGGUGAAAUCCUGGAGCUCAACUCCAGAACUGCCUUCGAUACUGGGAAGCUCGAGUCCGGGAGAGGUGAGUGGAACUGCGAGUGUAGAGGUGAAAUUCGUAGAUAUUCGCAAGAACACCAGUGGCGAAGGCGGCUCACUGGCCCGAUACUGACGCUGAGGCACGAAAGCGUGGGGAGCAAACAGG
rnacentral:rRNA from 1 species